rnacentral:tRNA from 1 species
AUAUGUUUAGUAUAUAAGUAAUAUACUGUCUUUCCAAGUCAGAGAACCAUAGAACGUGGAAUAUAUA